CCGACCUUAGCUCAGUUGGCAGAGCGGAGGACUGUAGUGGUGUCUGUAAUCCUUAGGUCGCUGGUUCGAAUCCGGCAGGUCGGA
rfam:Populus trichocarpa isolate Nisqually-1 chromosome 9, whole genome shotgun sequence.